rnacentral:rRNA from 1 species
AUUGAACGCUGGCGACAUGCCUUACACAUGCAAGUCGAACGGCAGCACGGGUGCUUGCACCUGGUGGCGAGUGGCGAACGGGUGAGUAAUACAUCGGAACAUGUCCUGUAGUGGGGGAUAGCCCGGCGAAAGCCGGAUUAAUACCGCAUACGAUCUACGGAUGAAAGCGGGGGACCUUCGGGCCUCGCGCUAUAGGGUUGGCCGAUGGCUGAUUAGCUAGUUGGUGGGGUAAAGGCCUACCAAGGCGACGAUCAGUAGCUGGUCUGAGAGGACGACCAGCCAAACUGGGACUGAGACACGGCCCAGACUCCUACGGGAGGCAGCAGUGGGGAAUUUUGGACAAUGGGCGAAAGCCUGAUCCAGCAAUGCCGCGUGUGUGAAGAAGGCCUUCGGGUUGUAAAGCACUUUUGUCCGGAAAGAAAUCCUUGGCCCUAAUACGGUCGGGGGAUGACGGUACCGGAAGAAUAAGCACCGGCUAACUACGUG